rnacentral:sRNA from 1 species
AUGGCUGUCGUCAGCUCGUGUCGUGAGAUGUUGGGUUAAGUCCCGCAACGAGCGCAACCCUUGUCCUAUGUUGCCAGCGGGUAAUGCCGGGGACUCGUAGGAGACUGCCGGGGUCAACUCGGAGGAAGGUGGGGACGACGUCAAGUCAUCAUGCCCCUUACGUCCAGGGCUGCACACAUGCUACAAUGGCCGGUACAGAGGGCUGCUAUCCCGCGAGGGUGAGCGAAUCCCAAAAAGCCGGUCUCAGUUCGGAUUGCAGUCUGCAACUCGACUGCAUGAAGUCGGAGUCGCUAGUAAUCCCGGAUCAGCAACGCCGGGGUGAAUACGUUCCCGGGCCUUGUACACACCGCCCGUCAAACCACGAAAGUCGGCAACACCCGAAGCCGGUGACCCAACCUUAGGGAGGGAGCCGUCGAAGGUGGGGUUGGUGAUUGGGGUUAAGUCGUAACAAGGUAGCCGUACCGGAAGGUGCGGCUGGAUCACCUCCUUUCUAAGGAGUCACAUAUGAUCUUCGACCGGCAUCUAGCCGUUCGGGGUCGUGAUUUCCCGUCGAUCACUUAUUAGUUGGCAUGCCCUUGCAUCCUGGGUCGGUUGAGUGCCUGAGUAGUUUUCAGGUGUCCCCUCACUGGGCUCUCGAGAGUGUGUCGGACUGUUCCUAUUCCGUUUCCAGGGAGCGGCUUUUUCGCGCCUGAAGACCCUUGAGAAUUCCAUAGCGAGCACGAGCAUCUGAAAUUCAAGAUACAAAGAGCCAACGGUGGAUGCCUUGGCGCCUGAAGCCGAUGAAGGACGUGGGAGGCUGCGAUAAGCCACGGGGAGCUGCCGACCAAGCUUUGAUCCGUGGACGUCCGAAUGGGGAAACCCGG